AACGAGGAACGAUCGGAGGGCAAGUCUGGUGCCAGCAGCCGCGGUAAUUCCAGCUCCAAUAGCGUACGUUAAAGUUGCUGCAGUUAAAAAGCUCGUAGUUGAACGUUCGGGUUCCGCGGGACGGGGCCGCCCCGCGAGGGACGGCGCCGCCCCGGGGCUCGUGAUAUCUCAUCUCGCCGCCCGUCGCGAGGCGGACGGAGGGAUGGAUGAGGUUACCUGGAAAAAAUCGGGGCGAUCUAGGCGGGCGAACCUCGCCAACGAACGAUCGGACAUGGGAUAACGGAAGAGGGCGUCGGCUCGACUUCGUCGGUUCCUCGGGCCGAGGCACGUACGGUGAAUAGGGACGGUCGGGGCCGCCCGUACCGGGUCGUGAGAGGUGAAAUUCUAGGAUCGACCCGAGACGAACCGCCGCGAAAGCAUUCGGCAAGGACGCUUUCAUUAAUCAAGAACGAAAGUCGGGGGGAUCGAAGACGAUCAGAUACCGUCGUAGUCCCGACCGUAAACGAUGCCGACCGAGGGCCCGGAGGAGUUACGUACGACCCUCCGGGCCCUCCCGCGAGAAAUCAGGAGUAUUCGGGUUCCGGGGGGAG
rnacentral:rRNA from 1 species